UAGUCCACGCCGUAAACGAUGUCAACUAGCCGUUGGUGAUCUUAGUAUCAUUAGUGGCGUAGCUAACGCGAUAAGUUGACCGCCUGGGGAGUACGGUCGCAAGAUUAAAACUCAAAUGAAUUGACGGGGGCCCGCACAAGCGGUGGAGCAUGUGGUUUAAUUCGACGCAACGCGAAGAACCUUACCUGGUCUUGACAUCCUGCGAACUUUCUAGAGAUAGAUUGGUGCCUUCGGGAACGCAGUGACAGGUGCUGCAUGGCUGUCGUCAGCUCGUGUCGUGAGAUGUUGGGUUAAGUCCCGUAACGAGCGCAACCCUUGUCCUUAUUUGCCAUCAUUUAGUUGGGCACUCUAGGGAGACUGCCGGUGACAAACCGGGNGGAAGGUGGGGACGACGUCAAGUCAUCAUGGGCCCUUACGACCAGGGGCUACACACGUGCUACAACGGGGCUGUACAAA
rnacentral:rRNA from 1 species